UACGGAGGGUGCAAGCGUUAAUCGGAAUUACUGGGCGUAAAGCGUGCGCAGGCGGUUUGUUAAGUCUGCUGUGAAAUCCCCGAGCUCAACUUGGGAAUUGCAGUGGAUACUGGCAAGCUGGAGUACGGUAGAGGAAGGUGGAAUUCCCGGUGUAGAGGUGAAAUUCGUAGAUAUCGGGAGGAACACCAGUGGCGAAGGCGGCGACCUGGGCCAAUAUUGACGCUGAGGUGCGAAAGCGUGGGGAGCAAACAGG
rnacentral:rRNA from 1 species